GGUCUUUUACUGCUAGACCUAAAACAAGAAGACGUCAGGAGAUGGAGAACUCCUAUAAAAGCCUA
rnacentral:ncRNA from 1 species